AUUGAACCUUGGCGGCAUGCCUUACACAUGCAAGUCGAACGGCAGCACGGAGCUUGCUCUGGUGGCGAGUGGCGAACGGGUGAGUAAUAUAUCGGAACGUACCCUAGAGUGGGGGAUAACGUAGCGAAAGUUACGCUAAUACCGCAUACGAUCUAAGGAUGAAAGUGGGGGAUCGCAAGACCUCAUGCUCGUGGAGCGGCCGAUAUCUGAUUAGCUAGUUGGUAGGGUAAAAGCCUACCAAGGCAUCGAUCAGUAGCUGGUCUGAGAGGACGACCAGCCACACUGGAACUGAGACACGGUCCAGACUCCUACGGGAGGCAGCAGUGGGGAAUUUUGGACAAUGGGCGAAAGCCUGAUCCAGCAAUGCCGCGUGAGUGAAGAAGGCCUUCGGGUUGUAAAGCUCUUUUGUCAGGGAAGAAACGGUGGGAGCUAAUAUCUCUUGCUAAUGACGGUACCUGAAGAAUAAGCACCGGCUAACUACGUGCCAGCAGCCGCGGUAAUACGUAGGGUGCAGGCGUUAAUCGGAAUUACUGGGCGUAAAGCGUGCGCAGGCGGUUUUGUAAGUCUGAUGUGAAAUCCCCGGGCUCAACCUGGGAAUUGCAUUGGAGACUGCAAGGCUAGAAUCUGGCAGAGGGGGGUAGAAUUCCACGUGUAGCAGUGAAAUGCGUAGAUAUGUGGAGGAACACCGAUGGCGAAGGCAGCCCCCUGGGUCAAGAUUGACGCUCAUGCACGAAAGCGUGGGGAGCAAACAGGAUUAGAUACCCUGGUAGUCCACGCCCUAAACGAUGUCUACUAGUUGUCGGGUCUUAAUUGACUUGGUAACGCAGCUAACGCGUGAAGUAGACCGCCUGGGGAGUACGGUCGCAAGAUUAAAACUCAAAGGAAUUGACGGGGACCCGCACAAGCGGUGGAUGAUGUGGAUUAAUUCGAUGCAACGCGAAAAACCUUACCUACCCUUGACAUGGCUGGAAUCCUUGAGAGAUCAGGGAGUGCUCGAAAGAGAACCAGUACACAGGUGCUGCAUGGCUGUCGUCAGCUCGUGUCGUGAGAUGUUGGGUUAAGUCCCGCAACGAGCGCAACCCUUGUCAUUAGUUGCUACGAAAGGGCACUCUAAUGAGACUGCCGGUGACAAACCGGAGGAAGGUGGGGAUGACGUCAAGUCCUCAUGGCCCUUAUGGGUAGGGCUUCACACGUCAUACAAUGGUACAUACAGAGCGCCGCCAACCCGCGAGGGGGAGCUAAUCGCAGAAAGUGUAUCGUAGUCCGGAUUGUAGUCUGCAACUCGACUGCAUGAAGUUGGAAUCGCUAGUAAUCGCGGAUCAGCAUGUCGCGGUGAAUACGUUCCCGGGUCU
rnacentral:rRNA from 1 species